AGUGAACGCUGGCGGAAUGCUUUACACAUGCAAGUCGAACGGCAGCACGGACUUCGGUCUGGUGGCGAGUGGCGAACGGGUGAGUAAUGUAUCGGAACGUGCCCAGUCGUGGGGGAUAACGUAGUGAAAAUUACGCUAAUACCGCAUACGAUCUAUGGAUGAAAGCGGGGGAUCGCAAGACCUCGCGCGAUUGGAGCGGCCGAUAUCAGAUUAGGUAGUUGGUGGGGUAAAGGCACACCAAGCCAACGAUCUGUAGCUGGUCUGAGAGGACGACCAGCCACACUGGAACUGAGACACGGUCCAGACUCCUGCGGGAGGCAGCAGUGGGGAAUUUUGGACAAUGGGCGAAAGCCUGAUCCAGCCAUUCCGCGUGCAGGAUGAAGGCCCUCGGGUUGUAAACUGCUUUUGUACAGAACGAAAAGGUUUCUACUAAUACUAGGAGCUCAUGACGGUACUGUAAGAAUAAGCACCGGCUAACUACGUGCCAGCAGCCGCAGUAA
rnacentral:rRNA from 1 species